rnacentral:rRNA from 1 species
CCUACGGGUGGCUGCAGUGGGGGAUAUUGCACAAUGGGGGAAACCCUGAUGCAGCGACGCCGCGUGGGUGAAGAAGUAUUUCGGUAUGUAAAGCCCUAUCAGCAGGGAAGAAAGAAGACGGUACCUGACUAAGAAGCACCGGCUAACUACGUGCCAGCAGCCGCGGUAAUACGUAGGGGGCGAGCGUUAUCCGGAUUCACUGGGUGUAAAGGGAGCGGAGACGGCCGUGAAAGCUAGGAGUGAAAGGCGGGGGCUCAACCCGCGGACUGCUCUGGAAACUGUAAGGCUGGAGUGCAGGAGAGGUAAGUGGAAUUGCUAGUGUAGCGGUGAAAUGCGUAGAUAUUAGGAGGAACACCAGUGGCGAAGGCGGCUUACUGGACUGUAACUGACGUUGAGGCUCGAAAGCGUGGGGAGCAAACAGGAUUAGAUACCCCGGUAGUC